rnacentral:rRNA from 1 species
GAUGAACGCUGGCGGCGUGCCUAAUACAUGCAAGUCGAACGAAGAUCUAGCUUGCUAGAUCUUAGUGGCGAACGGGUGAGUAAUACAUAAAUAAUCUGCCCAUAUGACUGGGAUAACUAUUGGAAACGAUAGCUAAUACCGGAUAGGUUGAUUGGAGGCAUCUCUGAUUAAUUAAAGUAGGAUUUCUACACAAAUGGAUGAGUUUAUGGCGCAUUAGUUAGUUGGUGGGGUAACGGCCUACCAAGACGAUGAUGCGUAGCCGACCUGAGAGGGUGACCGGCCACACUGGGACUGAGACACGGCCCAGACUCCUACGGGAGGCAGCAGUAGGGAAUUUUCGGCAAUGGGCGCAAGCCUGACCGAGCAACGCCGCGUGAGUGAUUAAGGCCUUCGGGUUGUAAAGCUCUGUUGUAAGGGAAGAACAUUCAGGAUAGGAAAUGAUCUUGAACUGACGGUACCUUACCAGAAAGCCACGGCUAACUACGUGCCAGCCGCCGCCGUAACAC